rnacentral:misc_RNA from 1 species
UUUUUUUUUUUUUCCUCAUAUCAAGUUGCACCUGGUGGUGGCGGCGGAGCUUGGAUUUGCUGCUGUGGUGGACGCUUACGCUUCUUUUUCUCGUAGCUAAUCCCUCUCGCUUUGGACUGCAAAUCACGAACCUCGCGAAGGUAAAGCCUUACUGCACGAGCUCCAAAAGGGUUUGCUUCAGGUUUGCCUCCAUUUUCCUCGAAGGCUGCCCGGAGGCGCCCGAUAAGAGCGUCGAGACUCCCCCAGGCCUGGCGAAGAGGGCAAGGGCAGGGAGCUGGUGGAUUCGGGUGACCAUAAAAGGGGCAGAUUGGAGUGUGCACCUUGGUCUUGCCAAAUUGGUCGAGAUAGCGAAGGAAUUCAAGGACAUGAGCUCCACUGCACCUGGAGAGAGAGAGGGGAGGCCUAUGGUUCUUGAGAUAUUGACCAAAGGUGUUCCAGUCUCGGCGCUUUUGGUUCUCAUAGCGGCUAGGAGUGGUGGAUGAUGAUGGUGAUGAUGAAGUUGCCGCCGAGAUAGUAGUGGUUGUCGUGGUGGUCAUGGUGGCAGUGCUUAUGUUGUUGAAGCUGGUGUUUUCAGAGUUGGAGCUGUUCAUUUCAGGGAUUGACUCCAUGAUUUUGUGGCUGUUUCGUUUCUCAGAUGGAUCUUAUAUAAAUUGAUAUGCUGUUUAUGAUUGUGUGUUCUCUGUUCUCUCCUUUAUUCCUCCUGAAAACAGGUACUUCUUCUAGGGUUACUUCUGCACUCUCUGAACUAAUAACGGGAAAGCCUCAGGAAAGAGUGGUGGAUGAUCUUAUAAUUUUUGCAGAACUUAGGACUGUUGAUGAAAACAAGCAGCAAAGAGAAGACUAAAAUGUAAAUGGAUAGGAAAAAAAGAAAGUUUAUGAUAGACUAUUGAUUGAUAUUACAGAGAAUUUCCAUUUUUUGUGGAGAGACAGAGAGACUUGGAGAGAGAGAAAAGGGGGGAUUAAAUAGAGCAGCAAAUUAGGGAAGAUUUAUGUGUGUUGGAUAUAUUAUUGUUAAGAAGAAGAAGAAGGGAAAGGGGUGGAAUGAUGAUGAUGAGACUGAUGGGAGAGGAAGAGUUCGCAAUCUUGGAGUUUCUUUGUUUGAGCAAUACUAACAAAAACCUGAGACUCUAGGUGGAUUUUUGCCAUCCUUUCUUUGUUUUCU